UGAGCAAUCUGCCCUUCACAUCGGGAUAACCCCCGGAAACGGGAGCUAAUACCGGAUACGACCACUUCAGGCAUCUGAUGGUGGUGGAAAGUUCUGGCGGUGAAGGAUGAGCUCGCGGCCUAUCAGUUUGUUGGUGAGGUAAUGGCCCACAAGGCUUCGACGGGUAGCCGGCCUGAGAGGGUGACUGGCCACACGUGGGACUGAGACACGGCCCAGACUCCUAGGGAGG
rnacentral:rRNA from 1 species